ACCUCCGGACUGGGGUUCGCAAGCUUCACAGCGAACGUACCUCGGGAAGUUGGUUAAACCUCACUAUUUAGAGGAAGGUGAAGUCGUAACAAGGUCUCCGUAGGUGAACCUGCAGAAGGAUC
rnacentral:rRNA from 1 species